AUACGGAGGGUGCGAGCGUUAAUCGGAAUUACUGGGCGUAAAGCGUGCGUAGGCGGUUUGCUAAGUCAGAUGUGAAAGCCCCGGGCUUAACCUGGGAACUGCAUUUGAUACUGGCAGACUAGAGUAUGGUAGAGGGGGGUAGAAUUCUUGGUGUAGCGGUGAAAUGCGUAGAUAUCAGGAGGAAUACCAGUGGCGAAGGCGGCCCCCUGGAUCAAUACUGACGCUGAGGUACGAAAGCGUGGGGAGCGAACAGGAUUAGAAACCCCAGUAGUCC
rnacentral:rRNA from 1 species